GAUAACCGAAGAUAACCGCUGGGUUCAGUGUCGGAUUGGUAAUAACACGAACAUCACCACCGCCUGGUGCCCAGGUGUCAUACAAACCACCAAAGAACAUUGCCUUCAGCACCAACAGCAGCGCACCGAUUCCUAAAAUAAUCAGGUGGAAGCCGAUGAUGUUGGUCAUCUUGUUUUUGUCUUUCCA
rnacentral:antisense_RNA from 1 species